CUCUUUGAAACAAAUAUCUAACACAUAAGGAUGAGAUACUCCCCAACUUGGCUGCUGGUUGCAGCUAAAGAAGAAAAGUCUCCUACUGCUUCAUAAACUGAAGAACAAUCAUCCCGGCAACUGACCCAGCAGAUCUUGUUACAGUUUAGAUAUUACUGUGAUAACAGGCUUGUGAGUCCCCAUUAAACCAGCAACACCAAGUCUAUAAUAUUCAAUUAUCUAUUAGAUACAACAAGGAUGGUUGCAAUGAAUAACAGGUAAUAUUGGGUCGCAAAUCUAAAAUAUUAACUAAGUGUCUAUAGUUACUUCAGAGUGUUUUCCAAGAGUGUUGAUUCCACUUUAGCUUGCUGGCUGAGCUGCUGGCUGAUUCCACUUUAGCUGCUGGCUAAGUCCAGUUGAUAAGACAUUACUCUGAGUCAACAGAAUGGGCAUCAUGUGACCUUCAGCCAGGAUACUCUCCUCAGACAUUUGGGACUGACUGGGCUACACUGACACCAGGUGUCUAAAGUGGUUGGAGUUACUGUAACAUUAAGCACUAAGACAGUCAGUGAGUUGCUGGUGAAAUACAGUGAUGUUUGAGGUUACACAGAAACAAGGAACUGGAAGUUACAUUCCGCAGCUCCAUACCAUUAACGAAUUUCUAGGUUGUCAGGCGAAAACCAAUAUAACUUCAACCUUUCUCUCAGUUGUCACAGGACCAAGACUUUACUCUGUCGAUUCCACCUCAAACUUAUGCAUUGUCAAAUGAUUAUUUAACUCCUUCCAUUCAAUAUGGUGUUUAUGUCAUUCAUGAAAUACCUACCACUGAGCCUGAGGUUUCCUGAUCUCUGUAUCCUCCCACACAUGAUACAGCAUCUCCACACAUCUCUUCAUCAUAUCACGCGUAGUUUCCUGAUCUCUGUAUCCUCCCACGCAUGAUACAGCAACUCCACAUAUAUCUUCAUCAUAUCACGUAGUUUCGGCUCUAUAUGUCUUUGCUUUAUAAUUGCAUAAGUUUGAUUUGUGGUGUGAAAUUUGAAUCUGAUCUGUAAUGCCACAACUGCCCCUGGACAAAUUACUAAGGAUAAUGGCGGCUUGUUGGCAACUGUCUGGCAACUGUGAUUGGCCACUGUCUAAGUAGGAUUUGGUUUAGUGAUGUUUUCUUGAAUACCUUCAUUGUUACAUUCAGCAUAAUCGCAACAUUAGUGAUCCGGGUUUUACCGAGGAGUUACCUGAAAGGUUUUACUGAGGAGUUACCUGAAGGUGUUACCGAGGAAGUUACCUGAAGGUGUUACCGAGGAGUUACCUGAAGGUUUUACCGAGGGAGUUACCUGAAGGUUUUACCGAGGAAGUUACCUGAAGGUUUUACCGAGGAGUUACCUGAAGGUUUUACCGAGGAGUUACCUGAAGGUUUUACCGAGGUGUUACCUGAAGGUUUUGCUCCAACAUUACGUGUCCUCAUAUCCCUGUUGGUUGUCUUGUCCUACAGAGAUGCUCCAUCAGAUGCAGGACACAGACUGUUUGUAAUAAACUGUUGUCUGCUUGA